rnacentral:rRNA from 16 species
UCAAGCGACUAAGGGCGCACGGUGGAUGUCUUGGCGUCGAGAGGCGAUGAAGGACGUUGGAACCUGCGAUAAGCCAUAGGGAGCUGGUAACCGAGCUGUGAUCUAUGGAUGUCCGAAUGGGGAAACCCACUCUGUUUACAGAGUACCGCAGUCUGAAUGCAUAGGGCUGCGGAGCGAACCCAGGGAACUGAAACAUCUCAGUACCUGGAGGAAAGGAAAUCAACCGAGACUCCGUAAGUAGCGGCGAGCGAAA